UCCGUAGGUGAACCUGCGGAAGGAUCAUUACCGAGUGUAGGGUUCCUAGCGAGCCCAACCUCCCACCCGUGUUUACUGUACCUUAGUUGCUUCGGCGGGCCCGCCAUUCAUGGCCGCCGGGGGCUCUCAGCCCCGGGCCCGCGCCCGCCGGAGACACCACGAACUCUGUCUGAUCUAGUGAAGUCUGAGUUGAUUGUAUCGCAAUCAGUUAAAACUUUCAACAAUGGAUCUCUUGGUUCCGGCAUCGAUGAAGAACGCAGCGAAAUGCGAUAACUAGUGUGAAUUGCAGAAUUCCGUGAAUCAUCGAGUCUUUGAACGCACAUUGCGCCCCCUGGUAUUCCGGGGGGCAUGCCUGUCCGAGCGUCAUUGCUGCCCAUCAAGCACGGCUUGUGUGUUGGGUCGUCGUCCCCUCUCCGGGGGGGACGGGCCCCAAAGGCAGCGGCGGCACCGCGUCCGAUCCUCGAGCGUAUGGGGCUUUGUCACCCGCUCUGUAGGCCCGGCCGGCGCUUGCCGAACGCAAAUCAAUCUUUUUCCAGGUUGACCUCGGAUCAGGUAGGGAUACCCGCUGAACU
rnacentral:rRNA from 1 species